AUAUUUGGGAAUCUACCUACCAAAGGAAAGUCAGGAAUUAUAUGAGCAAAAUUACAAAAAAGUUUUCACACAAAUAAAGUCAGACUUAAAUAAUUGGAAAAAUAUUAAGUGCUCUUGGAUCGGCCGAGCGAACAUAAUAAAGAUGACAAUACUCCCUAAACUAAUCUAUUUAUUUAGUGCUAUACCAAUCAGACUUCCAAGAAAAUAUUUUAAUGAUUUAGAAAAAAUAACAACAAAAUUCAUAUGGAACAAUAAAAAGUCGAGAAUCUCAAGGGAAUUAAUGAAAAAAAAUCAAAUGAAGGUGGCCUAGCUGUACCUGAUCUAAAAUUAUAUUAUAAAGCAGCAGUCACCAAAACCAUUUGGUAUUGGCUUAGAAAUAGAUUAGUUGAUCAGUGGAAAAGGUUAGGUUCACAAGACAGAAUAGUCAACUAUAGCAAUCUAGUGUUUGACAAACCCAAAGCCCCUAACUUCUGGGAAAAGAAUUCAUUAUUUGAUAAAAACUGCUGGGAUAACUGGAAAUUAGUAUGGCAGAAAUUAGGCAAGGACCCACACUUAACACCACAUACCAAGAUAAGAUCAAAAUGGGUCCAUGACCUAGGCAUAAAGAACAAGAUUAUAAAUAAAUUAGAGGAACAUAGGAUAGUUUAUCUCUCAGACUUGUGGAAGAGAAAGAAAUUUGUGACCAAAGAUGAACUAGAGACCAUUACUGAUCACAAAAUAGAAAAUUUUGAUUAUAUCAAAUUAAAAAGCCUUUGUACAAACAGAACGAAUGCAAACAAGAUUAGUAGGGAAGCAACAAACUGGGAAAACAUCUUUACAAUUAAAGGUUCUGAUAAAGGCCUCAUUUCCAAAAUAUAUAGAGAACUGACUCAAAUUUAUAAAAAAUCAAGCCAUUCUCCAAUUGAUAAAUGGUCAAAGGAUAUGAACAGACAAUUUUCAGAUGAAGAAAUUGAAACUAUUACCACUCACAUGAAAGAGUGUUCCAAAUCACUAUUGAUCAGAGAAAUGCAAAUUAAGACAACUCUGAGAUAUCACUACACACCUGUCAGAUUGGCUAAGAUGACAGGAAAAAAUAAUGAUGAAUGUUGGAGGGGAUGCGGGAAAACGGGGACACUGAUGCAUUGUUGGUGGAGUUGUGAACGAAUCCAACCAUUCUGGAGAGCAAUCUGGAAUUAUGCCCAAAAAGUUAUCAAACUGUGCAUACCCUUUGAUCCAGCAGUGUUUCUAUUGGGCCUAUACCCCAAAGAGAUACUAAAAAAGGGAAAGGGACCUGUAUGUGCCAAAAUGUUUGUAGCAGCCCUGUUUGUAGUGGCUAGAAACUGGAAAAUGAAUGGAUGCCCAUCAAUUGGAGAAUGGCUGGGUAAAUUGUGGUAUAUGAAUGUUAUGGAAUAUUAUUGCUCUGUAAGGAAUGACCAGCAGGAUGAAUACAGAGAGGCUUGGAGAGACCUACACGGACUGAUGCUAAGUGAGAUGAGCAGAACCAGGAGAUCAUUAUACACUUCGACAACGAUAUUGUAUGAGGAUGUAUUCUGAUGGAAGUGGAUUUCUCUGACAAAGAGACUUAACUGAGUUUCAAUGGAUAAAUGAUGGACAGAAACAGCUACACCCAAAGAAGGAACACUGGGAAAUGAAUGUGAACUAUUUGAUUUUUGAUUUUCUUCCUGAGUUAUUUUUACCUUCUGAAUCCAAUUCUCCCUGUGCAGCGGGAGAACUGUUCGGUUCUGCAAAUAUGUAUUGUAUCUAGGAUAUACUGCAACAUAUUUAACAUAUAUAGGACUGCUUGCCAUCUUGGGGGGGGGGGAGGGAGGAAGGGGAAAAAACGAAACAUAAGUGAUUGCAAGGGAUAAUGCUGUGUAAAAAUUAUCCUGGCAUGGAUUCUGUCAAUACAAAGUGAUUAUUAAAUAAAAUUAAAUUUUCAAAAAAAAAAAAAACAUAUAUUGAACUACUUGCCAUCUAGGGGAGGGAGGGAAAAACUGGAGCACAAGGUUUUGCAAGGGCUAAUGUUGCAGAAUUAUCUAUGCAUAUGUUUUGAAAAAUAAAAAACCUUAAUAAAAAAAAACAGAAAGAAAAUAAAGUCAUGAAAUCAUGACAAAUUGGGUUUAACUACCUAAAACUGAUUACCAUCUUUAAGGGAGAGAUUAGGAGAGAGAAAAUUUGAAACUCAGAAUUAUAAAGAAAGAAAAAAAUUCUUGUUUCCAAUAUCUCAUUUAUGACUAUGCUUGCCAUCUUUUAUCUGGGAAUAGGGCAGAAUAUCUGCUUCUCCCUGCCUGCCUUCCUUCCUCUUCCCCCACCCCUUCUCUCUCACACACACACUUCCCUCCUCCUACAUACACACACACACACACACCAUUAGACAAUAGAUUUCACAAUUUCCUCUUCAGAGUCUAAAACCUGUCAGAAGAACAAUGUUUAGCAAUGUUCUUUGUAAAUUUUCGAGAAAUGACAAAGCUACUUCCCAAAAGAGAAGAAAAAAAAAGAUUCCCCAAAUAAAAUAAGGCCUUCUGGAAAACAAACAGAAGAGCAGCUUUUCCUGCCAGGACAUGGUAGAAAGUAUUUAAUGUGUUCAUGCUUUUUCAGUUCUGGCAAGGAAUCCAGUUUGUGGAAACAGGGCAGCCCAAAAAAAAAAAAAAAAGGCAAGCAGAGAUUUAAGAGACAGCAGCAGUGUCUCCACUGCCAUCCUUUACAGGACUGCUGAAACAGCAGUCAGAGUUUGAAACCUUGUUUCACUUUCUGUCCUGUCUGUCUCAAGAAUGAUAAUCUAAUAUUAUAAAAUUUACAAAAUAAAACAUCUGAAGAGAAGAUACACACUUUGAUUGUUAGUAUUGGUCAGAAGAGACAUAGCUUUAUUAGUAGUAGUAGUAGUAGUUUUUUUUUUUUUUUUCCCCCCCGCUGAGGCAAUUAGGGUUAAGUGACUUGCCCAGGGUCACACACCUAGUGUGUUAAGUGUCUAAGAUCACAUUUGAACUCAGACCUUACAGUUACUAAAGAGCCUGGAAAAGUUAUGUCUUCAUCCACUUUCUUCUUGUUUUUUAUUUUGGGAAGCUUAAAUCUCAAUUACUUUUUUGUAUUAAUUUUGCUACACAUUUGUGUGAAUCGGGAUAAGUCCUUUUAUCUUUUGACCUCAGUUUCCUGAUCUGUAAAUGAAAGUUUAUAGUAAUAAUAAUACUGAUAAUAACUAGAUUUAUAUAAAUAAACCUGUAAGAUUUCCAAUUCUAAACUUGUAUCUGCUUGGAUCAUAUCAGUCUCCACUUAACACAGAGUCACAACAGGUUUGGAUAGACAUGGUAGAUACCAGAAUAUCAAGCAAGAAACUGAAUACUUAGACAAAUAUUUUGCCAUUAAUUACUUGUGUGUCUGGAUAAGUGGUAUUAAAGCUGAAUAUUUUGAUGUCUUAGUUUCCCUAUGAUAGGAGUAUUGUGAUAAAUUAACAAAAUGGCCCUAAUUGCUACAAACACAAUGUCAAAGAUACUUGUAAAUAUUACAUAUUAAGAUAUCAAUGAUUCAGAGAAGUUCAUAAAGUCAAAAAUUCAAAUACUAAUUGUGCUAUUCAUUAAGCUUUGAAUGCCUGAUAAAAAUGAGGGGGCUUGGACUAAAGAGAGAAUAUCUAAAGUACUUUCAAGUAUUAAGGACUAUGAAUCCAUGAAAUUCUUCUUCAUAGACUAUAUCCACCAGUCACCAUUACCCAGGCCAUUUAUUCCAGACUCUUAAGUACACAAACCCUUCUCUAGUCUACCUAUUUGGAAGAGCUUUAAACAUAGAGCUCUUCUUGAAAUAAAAAAAAAGUUCAUUUGCCCAACUUUCAUCUGUGUUCCAUUUCCAGAUUUCAUGAGUUUUGUGGGAAGUGGGAAAAAGAGGAAAAGUUGGUACUAGAAGCAGAGGGGGAAGUAUAACUGGAAAGGGCUAAAUAGGGGCCAAAGCAGAAAGUUGUAAGAUUUUGACAAUGAAAAGAAGCUUAUCUUUUACCUUGUACCUUUUGGUAGAAAGCAGGGGUUCUUAACUGGGGUCUGAGGACUUUUUUUUAAUGUUUUGAUAACUAUUUCAAUAAAACUGACCUCCUUUGUAAUCUUAUGCAUAUUAUCAAAAUAAAACACAUUAAAUAAAAUACAUGCAUUUAAAAACAUUAUUCUGUGAAGGAAUCCAUGUCUCACCAGGCGACCAAAGGAUUAUGAUACAAAAAAAGUUAAAUACCCUUAAGUUAGAGGUCCAGAAUCUGACAGAUUCUUAGAUAUAGCCAAUCUAUUGAUUUGCUUUGCUUAACUACACAUUAGAAGGGUCAGCUUCUCCUUGGUCAUAGGCAGUGAUAAUUUAAAAAAAAAAAAAAAAGGUUCAAUAAGGCAUUUUAAAAAUAAAAAAUAAGACACUAAAAAACACAUUUGAAUCUUUCUCAGUUGGAACACCUUGGGAUGUAUCUUUAAGAAGCCACCUUUACCAAAUGAGUGGAACUAAGCAUGCAUUAACAGAAGCCUGAGAAAUUCUCAUAAAAGCUAACUACUUAGAUGUUAAAGAAAACAGGGCAAGGAUUUCUACUUGCUUAGUGGGUGAUAGUUCUAUCCAAGCCAGAAGUUCUUAAACCUGCCAACACAAACACAGGCAGCUUCAGACCAUGAAGUAGAAGCUCAAAACAGGAUGUCAAAUUUGGUUUAAUGAACAACUCCCCCAGAACAGUGAAGCCAUUCUGUACAGCCUAGACACAACUCCAGAGGGGAAGGAAGGGGGAAUGGGAGGGUUUCUGGGUAAUCCCCUUUUUGAAAUGCUAAUAUCAUUACUACCACAUAGCCAAAAAGACAAGUGGCAGAGUCCAGCUGACAGAAGCUCAGGCAGUGUGCCCUUACACAGAUGGCUUAAAUAGGGUCUUUUGUCACUUCUCUUCUAUCUCUCUCCUCCCCCAACUAAGGCUUCUGAUGUAUCUCUAAUCACAGGAUUCACCGCAACUGGUGGGCAAUUCCCUGAAAGAGUUGAAUGGCAUUGGGAAAGCUGCUUCAACAAGGCUUGAAAGUCCAUGUGAAGUGGGAAUUUAAGAUUCUGAUCAGAGGAAGGGAAAAAACUGUACUCUAUGACAUCAGAUUAUAUCUUAGGAUCAGUGAUUCCUUUGGUGUAGCUCUCCUCCCCUCUGCUGAAUGGGGUAGAGAUAGAGGAAGAGGAAUUAUGAUGCUGAGAUUCACCUCUUGGUAAGCCUUUUUUGAACUUAAUUUUUUUUUUAAUUUUUUAAAUUUUAUUUUAUUUAAUAAUAACUUUGUAUUGACAGAAUCCAUGCCAGGGUAAUUUUUUACAACAUUAUCCCUUGCACUCGCUUAUGUUUCAUUUUUUCCCCUCCCUCCCUCCACCCCCCCCCCCCCCAAGAUGGCAAGCAGUCCUAUAUAUGUUAAAUAUGUUGCAGUAUAUCCUAGAUAUAAUACAUAUUCGCAGAACUGAACAGUUCUCCUGUUGCACAGGGAGAAUUGGAUUCAGAAGGUAAAAAUAACUCGGGAAGAAAAUCAAAAAUGCAAAUAGUUCACAUUCGUUUCCCAGUGUUCCUUCUUUGCGUGUAGCUGUUUCUGUCCAUCAUUUAUCCAUUGAAACUCAGUUAGGUCCCUUUGUCAUAGAAAUCCACUUCCAUCAGAAUACAUCCUCUUUUUUGAACUUAAUUAGCUUAGACUUAGCUAACUUAGUUGGCUAUCUAGACUGGUUAUUGGAUGACUGAAAAGCAAGUCCAUUGGUAAUACACACUCUGAUUGUUAGUAUUGGUCAGAGGAGACAUAGCUUUAUUAGUAGUAGGUUUUUUUUUUUUUUUUUUUUGCUGAGGCAAUUAGGGUUAAGUGACUUGUCCAAGAUCACAUACCUAGUGUGUUAAGUGUCUGAGAUCAAAUGUGAACUCAGAUCCUCCUGACUUCAGGGCUGGUGCUCUAUCCACCCCCACCUAGCUGCUUUUAAGAAGCUGUAUGAAGUAACAGACAAGAACUUUAGGGAUAAGUUUUGGUAUAUAAUGGCAUUUAAAAUCCUGAAUUUCCUGAUAAAACAAAUUGGUGAGCAUGCUGAGUAUACAAUAUCAAGGGUGAAGAACUAAUAAUCAUAACAAUAAUAAGUUAGCAUUAUAUAGUGCUUUAAGGUUUUUAAAAAUGCUUUAUAAAAUAUUUCAUUUGAUGCCCACAACAACCCUGAGAGAUAGCUGUAUUAAUUAUUCCCAUUUUACAGAUGAAAAAACUGAGGCAAAGAUUAAAUGACUUGUUCAGGGUCCCAAAGCUAGAGAGUACACGUAGUGGAAUUUGAAAUCGGGUCUUUUAAAUUCCAGCUCCAAUGCUCUGUCUGAAGAAGGGACCCUGAAACUCUAAAACUCCUUGAAGGAGAGAUUCUCCUUGGACUGCAUCUGUAGGACCUCGCCUGAGGGAAACAAGAUAAACAGCUUCAUUCUGUUAUCUAGGUAGGGUUGGUUCAGGCCUAAACUGGAGAAUUCCAACCCUAUUGAAUUCUAAGAUUUUCUCAAUUCCAGCUCAAGCUGAAAUCUAGCUUGUAGAGAAGAGCCAACUUGAAACUCCACCCACUAGCUUAGCUCCCAUGGAGCAGGCCUCUCUUGUAGCCAAACUCCCUAUUAUAAAAGAGCCAAUCUUAAACGUUCUCUUUGCAGAGGUCCUAACAUGCCAUGCUAUGCCAAGGAAACCUCUGCCCGCUGGAAUAAUAUUCUCUUUCAGUGCUCUUCAGUGCUAAUCAGAAUUUAUGCCUCUCUGUCGGGAUUUCUCUAAACUUUACUUUUCUGCCAGAAUUCCUCCACUGAGGAAUUCAGCCUUUCUAUUCUUGCAUAGUGAAGACUGACUUCUCAAUGCCAAUAUAAACCUCUUUUUAUCACUCUAGCUUUUUCGGGUUUGUAAAUUCCUUUAAUAAACAAUCUCUGUGCCGCUAGAAGGGGGGUUCCCAAAACUCCUUACUCAUGCGCCGAAUCCCAAGGAGGUGAGGGGAACCCAACCUCUCCAUUUGGUUCCCUGAAUCACAAACCUGCCACUAGACCUUAUUAAACUCCCUGACCACCAGGAACCCUAAUCUCAUUUUGGUUCCCUGAAUCUACUCUCAUCAUUUGGUUCCCUGAUAAUCCUAAAUCUAGAACUUAUCAUAUUUUGGUUCUCGGAACCCCAAAACCUAAACCUCAUCAUAUCCACUGUGCUACCACUUUAAAAAAAAAAAAAAAAAAAAGAACAUUAUUUUUCUACCACAAUAGGUCCUAUGGAAUCCUCUUAAAUAGUUUCUGGAGAGCUCACAAAAAAAUCACUACUUCAAAUUCCCCACCCCAUCUAUUGUCAUCUUAUUUUUUUAAACAGCUUUUUAUUUACAAGAUAUAUGCAUGGGUAAUUUUCAGUAUUGACAACUGCAAAACUUUUUGUUCCAAUUUUUCCCCUCCUUCCUCCCAUCCCUUCCCCAGAUGGCAGGUAGACCAAUACAUGUUAAAUAUGUUAAAGUAUAUGUUAAAUACAAUAUAUGUAUACAUAUCUAUACAGUUAUUUUGCUGCACAACAAGAAUCGGACUUUGAAAUAAUGUACAAUUAACCUGUGAAGGAAAUCAAAAAUGCAGGCAGACAAAAACAGAGGGAUUGGAAAUGCUAUGUUGUGAUUCACACUCAUUUCCCAAAGUUCUUCCGCUGGGUGUAGCUGGUUCUAUUAAUUAUUGAACAAAUGGAACUGAUUUGGUUCAUCUCAUUUUUGAAGAGAGCCACAACCAUCAGAAUUGAUCAUCAUAUGUAUAGUCAUCUUAUUUUUGACAAGGAAGGAUUUGCUGGACUCCUGAUAAAUAUUAAUUUGGAAUCAUUGAUACUGAUUAGGCAACAGAGAUAACAUAAUAUGAGAAGAGAUUUAACCUUCAGUUUCUACAAAUAAUUCUUAAAUAGAGACUUUGUGCUAAGUCUGGGUGUGAUAACAAAGGUGGUGUUUACACUUAGGAGCACAAGUGAUAUACACAAAUGGCUAAAAUGCAAACUAAUACAUAAUAAAUACAAAAGAGAAGUUCAAAGAGAGUACUAUCCCUGGUGUGAUGAAGAAAAGUUUGUUGAUUAGAGAGGGAAUGAAACUCCUGAAAGGCAGCUUCUUGGCCUUAUUAGGAAUAGAUAGUACUAAAAGGGAAAGUGGUUAUAGAGCUGGAUUCCUCCAGAUUGGUCUUGACUCGAGUGAACUCUGUAAAAAUUGUGUAAAACAAUCACUAAAAAAUUGUGUAAAAUAAUCACUGAAACUAUGUCCCCUUUGAUCUGAAAAAGAAGAGAGAUCAGGGCUUCCCAGGCUCCAAGGAGUCUAGAGAGAAGGGUGAGAUAAGCAGCAUUAUUCAAGAGCAAAUCAACUCCCACUGAUCUCUUGGGAAGUCACAUCCUUAUUCAGGAAAUUCUAAAACCUUCAAUUUUCAUUCAAGUGAGAAAUCCUGGUCUGAUUAUCAAUUCAAACUACCCCAGAUUUGCUCAUAAAAGUGGGUCUUUGCCAGUCAUUCUUUGCAAAAUUUUCUUCAUUAAGAAAAUAUGCCCACUAAGGGAAAGUCUCUUAAUGAAAAAUAAAACCUUUUUUUUUUUUUUUUUUUUUGCCACAGACCUUGGGGUUAGUGAAUUCUUUCACUUCCAAACCUGAGUCUCUGAGCAGAAGGGAUCUCAUUCAUUCACAUAUAUCAUCACUUUCAAUUCUUAUGCCUCUACAGAAUAUUGUGGUUGGAACAAUCCAAAAUUUGGAUCCUUCCAGGGACAGAGGAUUCCUCACCCUGUACAAAUUCACAAGAGUCCCAGUCUGAAGUAUCUACUGAUCUUUCGGGAGAUGGAUGGGUAAGUGAAUUGGUAAUGAUUAAUGUUAAUCUUUUUUAGGGGAUACAUGAAGGAAUGUCCACACAAAAGAAAACAACAGGAACUUUAUAAAGUAAUUCAACAGUUGUAAAUAACAACAAUCUAGCAAGUGAUUAGAAAGAAGGAUGGACUUUAAAGUAAUACACAAAAACCUUGGAUGCUCCUCUGCAAACUUUUCACAAUGGCAAAAUCUUAUACAGAAAGCAAACAAUGUUUUCUUUUUUUUUUUUUUUAAUUUUUAUUUAAUAAUGUUUUCUGAGAGGAAGGGUCUGUGAGAGACUAAUUGGUACUAUUGCUUUAAACUCAAUAAAUAGGGCACAGCCCUAGAUAAAACUGUGAAGUAGGUAAAUUGUCUUUGGCAAUCUCACCCCAUUCCCACCUUUUGGCCUCUAUCCCUCAAUACUAAUAUAGAUUCAAACUCUCUCUCCACCCCUUAAACAUUCUCUAUGAUGCCCUUUAAACUCAAACUGACUAGACAAAGUAGCAAAAAUAUCAAUUUACUGUAAGGUAUAAAUGGAUAUGACUUCUCUUAAAAAUAUCUGCAUUAUAACUGGAACAAAGGAAUGAAUUGCUAAUUGCUAAAUUUCAGGUAUCUAUAAGUUAGGGGCAGGGACCUUUUUUUGACUUGAAAUUAUACCACUUUGGCAAACUUUGCCCAUAUUUCUUAGAGCUCACAGGAUUUACAACUAGAGAUUUAAAGAUCAUUCUUUGCUACUUACUUGUUCUCUGAUUUUGCAAGUGAUUUUACAACAUCUGUUAAAUUAAGGAUUUGCCAUCAGAUGAUUUCCUAAGGUUCUUUACAGCCUAAUAUUCUUUCACUAAUGGAAAAGACAGUAAUAACACUCAGAUCUGGGUCUUAUCAUUAACCUAAGUUUUAUCACUGGUACAAUGAAUCAGACACUUUUCUUGAAGACAAGAAAUGUUAAUAUGAAGAUAACAUCUAUAAUAGGAUUGAUUCCUACAGCUUAAUUUGCAUCAAUAUUAGUAAUGAAUUAGAAAUUACUAUAAAUAGUCAGAUGUGGAAAAACAAAAUGGGAAGAACACUUUUUUUUUCAAUUAUUUUUAUUUAUUUUUCUAUUUAUUUUUUUCAGUACCUCUUUUCUUGAUGGUAUUCUAAAUACUGGACACUUAACAUCCCAUUUAGAAUCAUGAUUCAGGAAUAUCCUAAAAUCCAUUAAAAAAGGAAGUAACUUCUCAACAAAUAUAAAAAAAGAGUCCCACAGGAAAAAAAAGGAAGAAAUGAAUUAAUUGAUUUUUUAAUUAAAAAAAAAUUGUUUUUAAUGCUACAACAAAACUAAAAGAUUAAAAAAAAAAAAAGGAGUGGGGAGAAUGUAAAGUACAGUCACUCUUCUUUCACUACUAAAAGCAUUGCCUUGAUUUUAUUAGUAACCUCACUUUCACUUUCAUGCUGGUAACAAUGCACAUUCUGGUCAUGCAUAGUGUCGGGGAUGGGGUCUUUGGGGGAGAUGGCUAUGUGCACCCCGAACAGGGACAGGCGCCCACGGAGUAGUUUUCUCCAUGGUCUCUGGCUCUGGGUGAGCAGCCUCCCUCCCCUCUUAGACAACGACCCGAAGCAGGAAUACUCAGUGGAACGUAGAAUUGAAGAUUGAAAGAAAUAGAGUCCUGAUGGCCGGCAUUUGCAGCCUGAAAAGAAACAUAUGUUCUCGAGGUAAAGCUCUUGGGAAGUCUGGGGGUUUAUUGGCUGGGUCGAGGGAGACCCUGAGGGAUUAGCCCUCUUAAAUUUAUUUUUGGUGUGGACUGCUGUUAACCCCAACGAUAAAGGACUUUUCCUAAGGAGGCUCUCGGGUGGCUGUGGGGGCGUGAGGGUAACAUAGGGCCUCCGCCAACACCUGGAUCGGGUCCAGGGUGGUAUAGAAGCAGUCCGAAAAUUUGUAUCAGGACGUUAGCUAGGGAAUUCAAGACUGGAAUGAACUUCCCAGAUAUACAAGGGAAGAAAACUGGGAGGAUGUAUAUCCCAGGAUUAUUUGGGUAUAUCAGACUUAAAUCUGUAUGUAAAAGGUGAAAAGAGUUUUAUGAAUGUAUGUGUGUAUGUCUGCUUUGCAUUGCCUUUGUUCUGUGUUAAAAGUUAGAAAGCUCAUAAGAGAUAAGAAUUCAGCUCUGUGUUACAGGCUUAGAAAAAUAUCAGGCUGAAUUGUGGGAACUGGAAUUCAUUCAGAGUAGUAAUUCUUUCAGAGUGGCUCAGAAUGUAUUGGUCUUAGAAUUUGGGAACUAGUUUUGGGCUUCUCAAGAAAAGAAAAUCAUUUUUCUCUUUCUCUCCCUCUGUCUCUCUCAGUGGCUUUGCAGGAAAGUUUGGAAAGUUUUCAGAAAAUAGAAGAACAGUGGCUAUUGCUCCUGUAAACAAGGAGCCUGUUAUCAGGACUCAGCCAGAGAAAAGAAUUCUCAAGGAUGCAAUCCAGAUGUCUUCAGCCAUGCUUUAUUCUGAAGCUUCACCCCAACUCUGGAAUUCACACAUUGGAAGUACCCUCCCUCUGGAAUCCUACCAGAAGCUUCAUUUAAGGAGAGUAUCCAGAAUGCUGAGAAGAGUGCACUUCAUAGAAUAGCUGCUCAAUAAAUGCUUAUGGGAGAUGA